GCGCCGUCUGGUCGACGCCGGCCACGACGUGCGGGUGCUCGGACGCAGCGAGGAGAAGUCCGAAGCGAUCCGCGAGCUCGGCGCCCGCCCGGUGGCC
rnacentral:tRNA from 2 species